ACCAAAAGGCUGUUCAGAAGGAGGAACACUCAGGGAGAAGCAGUGGCUCAUUGGCAGCCCCUGCAGCAGAAAGGAAGGCGAUGCCAGACACGGGCACAGGCACAGCAGAUGCAGCCAGUACCACAAGUCCAGUUCCCAAUGCCCUGGAUGGCCUCGGAAGGGGUUUCUGUCAGGGAACAGGCUGCUGGCUAAGGUUACUGGAAGGCGUCCUUUGUUUGGAGCUUGUCUUCAUGUUGUGCUGCUUAGGAAUCGGGUAUUCCUGGAAGACAAAACAGAGCACCUCGGGACAGGAGUUGGAAGACGGUGGCUGCACCUCACACCCAGACAGUGUGAGCUGCUCCUCCAGCAGCAGUAAGGGCCUGGACAGCCCUCUCAAGUCUUCUGUGAAGAGGACCCCAGAACAACCGUGUACACAGAAGCCUCUUAUUGCCCCGUCGAUCCCACUGCCACCUGCUCUCCUCAUGGGCCUCCCCAAGCUGCCUUCAUCUUUUUUUUUUCUCUCCGUCUGUCCCAUCCCAACCAACCCGAGUUCCUCUAGGGACCCCAGGACCAGCCCAGCACCUUCCAGCACCUCCUGAGACCAACACAUCCCUUCCUCUGCCCCUGAGCCCCCUGGCCUGGCCCUCUAGGCAACACUGAAGAUGACACCCCACCCCACCCCCACCCUCCUACCCGCUCCAACUCCCGCUUGCAGGGUAGGCAAUGGCCCAUUCCUCUGUGUUCAAAUAAAGAGAUGGAUUUGUGUCCUAGUUUGAAAGCAAAACCAGUGAGAGGGUCCAAGUCAGAAAUACAGUUUAUUAGGAAAAGGGAAAAAAACCCAAAA